CGUGAAUAAAAAAUAUUGCCAAAUUAAGGUGAAAUAGAAUGAUCUGGUUGAUACUAAGUGAAAAAAAUUAAUAAAGUUUAUUGGAUAACAAUAGACUUAUAAACUUUGCUUAAGGGAGCAAAGGCCUCAAGCAGAAUCUUUAGAAGGAACUUGACUUAUCCCUACUAAAUAGUACCUUGAUUCUUAUCACUGCAUAAUCAAAGGUCACUUCAACAGGUUGGAGAAAGAACGACACUGAACAUGAAUUAAAGUGUCUCCUUACUCUUUUUCCCCCCACAACGGUCCUGCAUGUUUCAGCCAAACUCAUUUAAUUUGGUGGUAGAUUAACAGGUGUUUGCUGAACUGCAAUCAGCUGAAACAAGUGCAUUAAAGCAGGGAAAAAUAUUAAACAUGCAGAGCAGUUUGGUUUCAGGACCACGGUUAGGAAACACUGUCCUAAAUAAACCUUGGUGUGUAAAACCAAAUAGUUAUAUUUUGUGUGCAAAGCUUCUCUGCAGAAAUGGUCACAAUUUGUCUUAAGGUCUCUGAUGACAUUUCAUUUAGUUAGAAAUUUAUUUUACUUGUUUUACACAGGAUGAUUCUUGAAAAUUUAGUAUGAAAUUGUAUUUAUUUUUUGUAAAUAGCUGCAUGUUAACAAUAGACAAGUUUCAUUUAUAAAUCAGUUGAGUUAUAGUCCAAAGAAAAUCUACUAAAACUGGAAGUUAAACUAACAUAUUAUUGUUACUAAUAAAAUAGUGUUUUUAUUGAAAUCUUAGUUAAUACACAGUAAGUGAUGCCUAUUAACAAAACUAACUUUUCAAAACAACACAAGAAUACAGCGUCUUAGUGAAAAACUUUCUGAGAUCAACAGUCAAAUUAUAGACACAAAUGAGAUCGGUAUGAUGGUCUUGAACAGUUAAUAAUCAAUGCAUUUCUCCGACAGCCUGUGGAAACCCUAGCAGAGAAGGAUUCAGGAGUGCUGCUGAGUGCCCAGACUAUCACCUCUGAGACUAUCAGCACCACCACCACAACCCAGAUCACUAAGACGGUGAAAGGAGGAAUUUCUGAGACUCGAAUUGAGAAGAGAAUUGUCAUCACUGGAGACACAGCAAUUGAUCAUGACAAGGUAAACAUCAUGAAAGAACAGAUUGUAGUUUGAAAAUGUAGAACAGAGUUGACUUGAUAAUUUCAGAAAGUGCAAAGAAUGUUUAUUAGCUCACAAAUUGCAACAGAUUUCUGCUUUAGAUCUAAUUUGCAAUCCAAGUAUUAGCUAAUUUCUCUAAUCCUUGAAGAUGAAUGCUUGUUUUGUUUGGCAAAGCCAAGUUACAGAAAGCCCCUAAAAUACAUAUUUCAAAGACUGAUUUUUAAAUAAGAGAAAUCUAGAGGUCUUGAUAUAUGUAAAACAGGAUAUGGAGCAAGAUCAGUGAGACCAUUGAAUGGAAAUCAGGCAGUGAAACAGAAGGAUCCAACAAUGAGAAAUCAGGAGCUUAAAUACAGAGGCAGCAGUAAAAAAAUGUCACAAAACCAAAGGAACUAAUAUGAAGAAAUGUUUUACAGCUGUGUGCGCUGUCCACACUCCAGCUCACCGAUGGUGGCAGUAAUACACCAUCGCAGUUGGUCUGCCAAAUGCCUUAAAACAAAACAAGAAAAACAACAAAAAGCUGGGGCAGGGAGAAAGCAGCAAAACCAAAGAUGGGAGACUAAUUAACACAAAAGCCACUCAGACUCUAGAAAACAAAAAAUACCUGACAAUAGAUAAAUUAAACUAGAAUUGCAAGCUGUUACAAUUGGUUCCUCGGCUGACCCAGCAGGUCCAUUCCCCUUACAUCGCCCGUCCGCACAAACAACUCUGUACACACCUCCCGAUGAAGUUCCCUCCCCAACCUCAGUGCUCUGUGCGCGUCUACCGAGUCGGCAAUUUUUCAGGAAGGGUUAUUUUUUGUCCUGACAUGUUACUAGCCAAGAUAAGUGUGGAUUUGGCUCCCCUUUAGUUAUUCUAUCUGUGGUCAGCUAGCAUAACUAAGCUAUGGUGGGAAGAUAAACUCCAGGAGAUUUAAGAUUGUCAGUGAGCCAAGGGUGGCAGACACAGGGAGCCAGAUUCAGAAUAAACAAAUUGACUGUAGAAAGGGCAAACUUAAAAUUUCUAUCCAUCCCAAGGUCUCAACCGGUACAUUUCUUAUUUCCAAUCAUCCAAAUUAGUGUGGUUGCAACCAAGAUUGAUUCUAUUCUGCUACUGAGUAUUAGCGUCCAAAGUUUGCCUUUGAAAGAAUUGCAUCCAACUUGUCUCACAGCACGUCAGUCUGAGUGUUCGGUAGUUCGGCUCAGUCUGUCACAAAUUUGUCCACAAGCUCCAAACAGCAGAAAUCCAGAUAUAUCAUGAGUCCAAAUAAAUCCAGGAUGAAUCCCGCUGGGUAUGUCCCAGCAGGAAAGUGGGCUCUCCUGUGCCCAGUCUUCUCAUUGAGAAAGUUUGAUUAAAUGCAUUAUUGAGAGACCAGUUAACCAGAGUCUUAAUUGUAGAUUUGGAGGAUGCGCAAAGAAAGGCUCCAAAAAAGCAGCACGAAAACGGAGCAAGAGAAGCUGGAGAAGAAAGGAAA